rfam:Neotoma lepida isolate 417 scaffold_217, whole genome shotgun sequence.
AUCCUUCUUGUGAUUCACAAAUGUGAUGAUUGAGUUUUCGUGUCACUGUGAGGAAUAGGCUUCUCUCAAACCAUGUUACAACAGCAGGACUUUACUUAUCUGACA